rnacentral:rRNA from 1 species
GCUAUUUAGGUAGCGCCUCGUGAACUCAUCUCCGGGGGUAGAGCACUGUUUCGGCUAGGGGGCCAUCCCGGCUUACCAACCCGAUGCAAACUGCGAAUACCGGAGAAUGUUAUCACGGGAGACACACGGCGGGUGCUAACGUCCGUCGUGAAGAGGGAAACAACCCAGACCGCCAGCUAAGGUCCCAAAGUCAUGGUUAAGUGGGAAACGAUGUGGGAAGGCCCAGACAGCCAGGAUGUUGGCUUAGAAGCAGCCAUCAUUUAAAGAAAGCGUAAUAGCUCACUGGUCGAGUCGGCCUGCGCGGAAGAUGUAACGGGGCUAAACCAUGCACCGAAGCUGCGGCAGCGACAUUUAGGUGUUGUUGGGUAGGGGAGCGUUCUGUAAGCCUGUGAAGGUGGCCUGUGAGGGUUGCUGGAGGUAUCAGAAGUGCGAAUGCUGACAUAAGUAACGAUAAAGCGGGUGAAAAGCCCGCUCGCCGGAAGACCAAGGGUUCCUGUCCAACGUUAAUCGGGGCAGGGUGAGUCGACCCCUAAGGCGAGGCCGA